AAAACAAAAAAAAAAAAAUGAAUAAAAAAAAAAAACUUGAAAAAACUCAACAGCUGCAGCUUUUCGAAGUGCGAGGCGCAAAUUGGACCCGUGCAAACAAGUUAAAUACCCUGAAGCUUUUCCCAGUGGUCGGAAAAUGGAUUUUUGGGCCAGCCGUGCACUGCUUUGUUUGAUACCAAAUAACGGCAAUUGUGCAGCUCUUGUUGCACAGAAAUUGCACUAGAGGGCGCCACAGUUCGGCCACAAAAUGUUGCCGCAGCAUGUUGCCAUUGAGUAGCUGACCCCAAACAGAAUCUGCAAAGGACAACAAACCGAUGCAUAACUAACGGCAUAAACAUAAACAUAAACUUAUGCGCCAUUUGUCAAGCGAGCAACAAAUUGCAUACCAAGGAGCAACACACACGCACACACACACACACACAUACCCUACGCCUGCUCCAGCCUUCUCUACGGCUUACACACACACGCACGCACACACCUUAUGCUGUUGGCUUUGUCGGCUCGGCUCUAGCGUUGGGUGUCACAGAUUAACGCCUUACUUGAAUUAUGGGCCAGCAGGAAAGCCUGGCCAGGCCGACCCCUGCGACCGGGCCAAACUACUCGACAAAUCCGAACAGAAACAAAAAGUCGACGCGUGGAAAAAUCAUGUAUAAAACAUAAGAGCGACAAACACGCACACACAUCUACUGGGUGGGAGGGGGUCUAUCGGAGCUGGCUCAAAGGCACGCAAGACUCUGGUGCAGGAGGCCAUAACACCUACCAUAUGUACGUCGCCAGAUGCCAGGCCCAGAACGGAGCCAGCGUGUGAGGCGUUUAAAAAUUGAAAACCAAUUUCGUAGCGAUUUAAAACACGAUGCCAUUCGAUUGGGUGGCGUUGGGCCUGGCACAUGUGUGUGUGUGUGCCGGCUCAUUGUGUGACUUUUCACACUUCCCUGGCCCGCCACUUGGGCUCAGUGUUUAGAUUGUGUUACCAAUAUUUAUGGCUCAGUGGGGAUACGCGCGACUUUUGGCUGGCGUGACUGCAGCUCAGGAUCGGGGCCAAGUCUAAUCGCCUGACCCCUUGGCGCAGCUUUUAGCUCUAAACUGGAUCUUAUGUGUGGAAGCGAGCGACUUUCUGUUGCACUGAGAACAGGAGGGGCACAUCGUCUCAUGAUGGAUAUGUCUAUGGCGCAACGAUGCAAUUUAUUGGCACUUCAUUUCAUAAUCAGUUUGCUGCACUCGCCUCGGGUCCAAUCAUAGCUGGAUAUUAAGUAGCUGCUUGUCCGCCGGCGGGAGUAAUUUGUCCAGCUGGGCAGCUGUGCACAAACUAUGCAUACGUACAUAUACAUAUGCAUAAUUAUGAAAGUAACGAGGCUGCAGGGUAGCUAAAGACGAUUAUGCACCUGACGCACCUGUAAGCAAAGAGCAGAUGGCUCGCAGGAUAACUGAAAAUCACCUUUGCUCAGUGCAAACGUCCAAACAUUGACCCAUUUUCUUUGUACAAACUGCGCUAUAUAGUAUUUUAAACAUUUUUAUUGUGCAACCUAAUGGGCGUUUCGUUGCGGAGCCCUUUGACUGAACACGCAUGCACACGCAUACACUCAGGCUUUCUUUAUGGAAUAAGUAUGUACGAUUGCUCGGCAAACUCGAAGCUGGAAAAGGAGCGUACUUAACAAAACCUAGGAGUUGGCCAAAAAUUAAUCUGACCAAAGCAAAAACAAUGGGCAAACAACAAAUUGUAAGGCACGAAAUACCAAUUGUACUAAUAUAAGGGUGUAUAUGUUAAAGCCAAAGUGAAGUUCGGAUUGGCUUAAACCAGAAUUGUUCCCUUUUUCAUGCAAAACCUUAAUUGAAGCUUUCUAGCUAUGGCCAAAAUAUCAAAAAAGUGUGUGUGCAACUUAUUUUUUGUUUCAGCCGACUUUGACCUAUGCAACAUUUCUAAAGAUUCAUGAAAUCAGGAGACAAGUUUUUACAGAAACAGGUUAUAAUAGUUUUGUGCUCUUCUAUGCGUUACAAGUUUCAUGCAAGAACUCUAAUACUCUUUACAAGGGUAUAAAAAUGCAGAUAGUAGAGAAGUAGGCAAAUCUACGGCAUGUGAGUGAGGCAACGUCAAUUGUUUAAAAGUGAAAAUUCGAUUUUGUGGUAAGGCGGAGUCGACAAAAACAACAACAGCAGACAAAUGGCAUGCAAAAUAAAGAGCAAAAAAAUUGUGCUUUUUAUAGGGUGUGUGAGUGUGUCUGUGUGUGAGUGUUGCCUUUUAGUUUGAAAAGGCUGUUAUUGUUGCAGUUGCUGUUGUUGUUAUUGCUGUUGCCUCGGCAUGCUGAUGCUUUGUGUCAAUGGGUGGACAGUUAGUUGUAUGCAUGUGUUUGUGCGCGUAUCUGUGUUGAUGUGGCCAAAAAAUAUACACAACAAUCGUGCAAGCAACACACUCACAAGCACACAACAACAAAGGGAGCAGAGUUGGGCUGGAAUCGUCAAAGACACAGCCAGCUGUUGAACCCUGGAUGAGGCAGCAUCAUGCUGCAUGUACAAAAAAAAAACAAGAGGGAAGGAUGCAAAAUCUAGCAUUGGGCAGGUGGAGCAGGAGCAGUAGCAGGACUAACAAGAAACGUAACGAUAACGAAAAACAAACUUUAAAAAUUGGAUUCUUCAUUUGCAUCGGCAAAUCCAAUCAAGCCAACGUAAAGACCCCGGCCAGACACAUGCACAACAUAAAGUCGAUGCAGAGCCAUGGACCAGGCGGCAGACGUGGUCCAAAAGCUUGCAAAACCCCACGCGGUUCGGUAUAAAAGUUGGCCACGGCACCAGCACAUGCAGACAAAAAGAAAGAAAAAGAGAGAGCAGCGACAGAGAAAGAGAAUGCGAGGUAGUGAGGCAGGUACGUGUAUGAAACGUACAAUAAAUGAAAGGUGUGCGCCGCAUGUUUGGCCAUAUAGUUGACCAUUGCUUAUGGCUUAGCUAGCAUGCUCAGCCUUCCUGCUGCUUUCUGGUGUGUCCGGAUGAAAAUUGGUAGCGAUUUGUAUUGCAUUGGCCAGCACAAAAGAGGCUGCCAUUGUUCCGAUUGCCGAGUGCUCCUCAAAAGUUUUGCCGGCGGCACUUCAUCAUCCCCUUGCACUUCAUUCGCUGCCCGCUGCUUCUUGAUGCUGUGGCAUUGCAAAAUUUCUUAUUUGUAUGCUUGGCUUACCUGCCGUUAUCCAUCUGCCUUGUGUCUUCAUCAACUGGGCCUGUAUUAAGUCGCUUGUUGGUAGCCUUCGCCGCCGUCACAGCCUGUCUCUCACUUACGCUUUGUCACUGUAUUCGAUUUGUUGCUGUUGUGGUUUUGGCUGCACACAUAUACAUAUGCACACACACGCACACACACACGUAACAUAUGGAGAGAGAGAAGGGCAAACAAAAGCCGUAGCAUACUUGUUGGGGCCGCUCGCUUCGGUUAUUGAUUGCAGGCAUACGUUUGCCAUUUUAUUACAAGACCCAAAAAUGGUCAACGAAAAAAUGCAGCAGCAUUGUUUUUUGGCCACGUUAAUUGCCAGCGAAACCAAACAUUUGCGUCAGCCCAACCGCAGGCAGCGAUGCUAGCCGCAGCCCCACCAUCAGCGUCAACGUCGACAUCGACAUGGACGACAACAUCAACCGCCACUUAAAUUGCCCAAACCGCGACAAGUGUCCGGCUGCGACUGCUGCCAUGGUUGCGGCCAGCCAUAGACACGGCCCGUUGAAGCGCACAAGAAAACCAUUCAUUAGCGCUUAUCAAGCCCCAACCUCAAUGGCCAUUUGAUUUUGCGCUUAACCUAAACUACACGACCUUUCUGCUUUUCUUUUCCUUUUUUUUUUUUUUAGUCCAACAUAUUACAAACGCUUAGGCUGGCCGCGCGGCAAUCGCUGACGUUUAUUGUAAAUGGUUGUCCAAUGAAAAUUGUUGUGGCCUAUCAACGUCAACGCGGCCUGCAUGGUGUGGGCCAUGUCCUAGGAGGUGUCCUGUGUCAUUAGUGCGAGGAAAAAAAAUUCUCGCGCGAGCCGUGAAAAAAUAACUGGCAGUUUUAUCGGCCUAUACACAACGUCUGUUGGCUGUUGCCACGCUUUAGUUUAAUUGGCACUUGACAGUGUGGCCAACAGGCUGCUGGCAUUGCCGGUGCUAUCAAUCAAAUUGGCUCCUUCAACUGUGGUCAUUGGAACAUGUGUGCCAGAUUAUAAAAGAUUUGCUUAUUGGAUUUAAUGUGAAUUCUUAACAAAAGAAUUGCAUAAUAAUUGAUGUGAUAUUGAACUUUAAUACACGUGGCAAAAAUAUUGUAUGCUCCUUCUAUUUGAAUAGAAUGUAUUACAUUUGAUUUCAA